UGUCGGACUAAGCUUUUUUUCUUUUGUCAGAUCAUAAUAAUAGGUUGUUACCUAUUGCCACAUGCUUUCUGCUCCCCAGGCACUGUCCCGGGGGCCUGGAACACACGUUAGCUCGCUUUGUCCUCACGAUCACCGAACGCGGAGGCACUAGCCGCAGACCCAUUUUGUAGAUGACAAAGCACACACAGGCGGGUAACUUACCCACAGUCACAGGGUCCUUUACAGAGCUCUGGAUGCAGGCGCCUACAUUCUUUUCCCAGAGCACAGACGUGGGCUGGGGCGCGGUCCCCAAGUCUGCCUUCAGCGGAGUUGCUCUAAGGCUCUGGACUUCAGAACCUCCUGAGGGACUUCGUUCCAGCUGGACUUUGGGGUUCUGCCCCCCAGUGGUGUGCCAGUAAACAUUUCAGCAGCAGCUCCUGGGCUGUGGGAGCCCCCGUUUUUAGCCUUUGCCAGUUUCCGCGGUGUAAGUACUCUUUUUUUUUUUAUUUAAUUUUAAUGUUUAUUUUUGAGAGAGGGAGAGAGAGAGAGGGCAAGUCGGGGAGGGGCAGAGAGAGAGAGAGAGAGGGAGACACAAGAAUCCGAAGCAGGCUCCAGGCUCUAGGCUCCGAGCUGUCAGCCCAGAUCGCGACGCGGGGCUCAAACCCACAAACCGCGAGAUCAUGACCUGAGCCAAAGUCGGACGCUCAACCGACUGAGCCACCCAGGCGCCCCAAGACACCGAUGGUUUAAAAACAAACAAAAAACUGUGUUAAAGUUUAUAGCCCUUAUCCAUCACUUGAAUUGACUGGUUUGAUUUAUCAUUGCCAGGCAGUCUAUUCGUUGAGAGUCCCUGAAACUCACCAAACAACUUUGAGAAGAGAGCAAAGGAAAACGAUCCAGUCCUUGCCAACUGGAAUCAGAGAGAGAGAGAGAGAAGAGGACAUCGAAUACCGUAAAGAAAAAUAUCUCUAUAUGUCUAUAAACAAAAACAAACUAUUACUGCUCUGCAAGCGGGAACACGUGUGCCUGGGCUUUUAAACUUGAAGCCAGUAGCUUGCUCAGAUCUCUGGGGGGGUCAGCGCCAGGAAGUCAUUCCCCCUGGCCUGCCGUGUUGUGCCCAGGACGGUUCUGGGGGUGAACGCAGUGAAGCAGGUGGCCGGGGUGGAUAUCCGGGGCACGGAUCGGGGAGGAGGUGUGGACCCUUUCCCCGGGAUGCAUCGUCCACACGCACUGGUUCUGGUUUGUGAGCAGCUCCAGGGUCGGUUUCAGGCGAUGGCAUUUAAGGCAGGAAGCAGAGGAAGCCUGGCCCCCAUUAACCGAUCCCCCCUGGCGUGCCCCGGCGUGAGGGGACGUGUGGGGUUCCAGCGGCGGGUCUGAAAGCCCUUUUUCAUAGCUGGGUGUGUGGGGCUGCAGUGUCUCUGAAGGCCCCGUCGCCUGAUGUUCCCGAAGUCCCAGCUGAGAUUUGGUUCCAAGCCUUAAGAAAACUGAGGCUGAAAAACUAAUGUGAGGCCUCGACUCCGGGUAGUGAAGGGAGCCUCCCGUCCAUGCGGCAUCUGCUAGGGAAAAACAGAACAGAACAGAACAGAACAACCCAGAAUGAAGGCUAAUGCCAACAGCCAGGAUUUGAUGAGCGCUUCCUGCUGGCCGGGCAUUGGGAUGAGGAUUGUAUCUGUGGUACCUUCGUCCUCCUCACGAGAGCUCUAUGAUGUAGACUCUGUUAUUACUCCAUCUAACAGCCAUUAGAACAAAGACGAGAGCCUGAAAAAUGGUUGGAGGAAGCGAUCCUAAUUUCACUGAAGCGGAAAGAUAACCAUGGAACAAGUCUGCCAGCCCUCAACCCUGUCACUGAAGAGAAACUACCCCUGAACGCGCUAUCUGCCAAGGCUGCUCCUGGGUUCCUUAAAGUGGAGUGAAAACUUAAAGCACGUGAACAUUUCUGGUGCAGAAGACGUGACGAUUCUUACGGCUCUCCCCCAGCCUGUUAACGACUGUUUCACCCAUACCUGCUCCCAUCUUGAAAUCCUCACCUUUAUCGUUUGCCCCAGCGCGUCUGCAGAGAAAUAAACUUUAUUGCCACUCGUA